GGCCCGUUGGUCAAGCGGUUAAGACACCGCCCUUUCACGGCGGUAACACGGGGUUCGAGUCCCGUACGGGUCA
rnacentral:tRNA from 1 species